rnacentral:lncRNA from 1 species
GAGUCCACUUCAUCUAUGAAUGGUGAAAACUUGGCAAGCAACUCAGACAAUUCUGUGAAAGUGGAACCUUGUUGUUUGAUUUCUGAAACUCAUCCUAUUGAGGAAGAUGUCUCAAAUUCUUCCGUUGACAAAGUGGAGGUUGUGGCUUCUUUGAAUCAGAGCUCACUAGAUGCAAUAUCUGAGCUGGAAAUUGAGAAUGGUCAUGUGGGUUCUCCUGAUUCACAAUCUGAUAUUUGCUCCUUUCACUCGGAGAGCAGCAUAGAUGAAUUAAAUGAGCAGUCCUUGCAUACAGCAUGUGGUGAUGGCAAUGAAAUUGUAGCGACUGUUGAAAAAUCUGAGUCCAUGGAUCACAUUCUUUGAAUCAGGGCUCACUAGAUGCAAUAUCUGAGCUGGAAAUUGAGCAUGGUCAUGUGGGUUCUCCUGAUUCACAAUCUGAUAUUUGCUCCUUUCACUCGGAGAGCAGCGUAGAUGAAUUAAAUGAGCAGUCCUUGCAUA